GCAAAUCCCAGCUGGGAUAGAAUCAGAAGCAGGUUUGAACUGCACAUUCACUAACAAUGUUGAUGAAUUUGAAGCAAAAGUCUGGCCCCAACCUACCUGUCCAGCCUCACUGGACAUUCCUUCCUUUCCUG